UAACAGUUGGAACCACUGUCCUGGUGGCGUGAACUAUACUAAACAUGCACCCUUAAAUUCUAGCCCCAGGGUGAAAAUUUCUCAUGGAUUCAUUAACAUAAGUGGCAUGCUGGUGACUAUCUCAGGCUCACGUUCAUUUUAGUUACCGUGAGUCAGUUUUUUAAGCAUAACCAGGUGCGUCUUUGCCCCCUCCAGCAGUGCUGCCCUCUGAGUCCUGGCAGUGCCAGGCAGCCUUCCUCUCUGACACCACAGCUGCCAGGUCUUGUUCCACCUGCCUGCCCACCUCACCAGACUUGGGCAAGGAUGAAAUAAGAUGAUAAGAGUUUUGUAAACCAUGGCAUGCCAUACAAACACCAGUGUUACUGCUGUGGGACCAGGCCUGGGAAUAUGAGAAUCCAGCUGCAGCAUGGGUGUGGCUGAAAGAGCCAGAUGGUGAACAUCUGUCACCAAAGCACAACACUGCUGAGCACCAGUUUACGGGGUAUAUCCCAUGGGACGGAAUUGCCUCAUGGAAGGUUUAUAGUUUGACUUCUCUAGCAGAGUUGAUCAAAAAAGGGGCAUUCAUUGUGCUUGCCAUGGCUGGAUGGAACCCUGGCCCUUUAAAAACCCGCCAAGGUUUUUAAACCUUGCAUGCAGUCAUCAUGAACACCAGUGGGUGGAAUGACAUUUGUGGGACGCGACCCAUUUCUCUAGGAGUGGUGAUGUAGAAGGACUCUUAGGAGCACUGGGUGGUUUCCUCUCUGAUGGUCUGUGUUGCCCAGUGAAGUGGCUGUCAGCAGGCCUCAGGUGAAGCCAGAUUCACCCGCGCUAAUGGGAGGACCAUGGAGACGCCAGUGCUCGGUGUGACCUUUCGGGUUCUCUGAAGUCUUGCUGUCUACCGUAAUGUCUGGAGAGAAUUGGGUUUACAAAGUGGGAUAUUGUGCUACGCUAUGUAGCAUCUGGCCCUAGGAGAAGACAGAAUUAAGAAGCAUAACUGCAGUCACAAAGUGAGGUAUGGUAGGAAUUUAGAAUUCCUAGGCAUAUAGCUUAGAUUAAAAUGUUUUCAUAAAUAAAAAUGAAGUGAGGGUCAGUUCCAGUACCAAGUACCCCAGGACUCAGUAGCUAGAGGACAAAGCCUAGCCCCUGGGGAAGGAACGGGGACACACACAUGUAGCUACACGGGGUCUUUACUAGCUCGAGUCCCUUUUUCCAGAAUCGACAGCUGAAUCUGAAUGUAGGUAGAGUUUAUAUGUGAAAGAAAAGGUCGGGAGAAUACUCUUACUGCUUAAUUAUUUAUACAUUAAUUAAAAUGUGUAUAUUAAAUGUGUCAGGCACUGCUGGGCAUUGAAAAGGUAAAACCAAAACCAAUCCCCAUCCUCCUGCGGCUACAGUCUAGGAGGGGGACAGGCAUUACUCAGAUCCUCAUGGAUGACUGUGACGUGCAAUGGUGAGAUCCGCAUGGAGAGGUCCAUGUAGCUGGGGGGGCUAAAAACUAGGUUUGACCUGCUUAGGGAAGACUUCUCUGAGGAAGUGAUGAGGGAAUUGGAAUCAGUAUGUAGAAAGUAACAAGGCCAAGAGAGAAAUGCCUCUUCCUUAUUCUGCUUAAUUCGCAUUCCCUUCACCCAACCGCCUCUUCACUGAGACAGACCUAACACCCGGGUGUACAGCCUCUGGAGUGAAGCUGAGUGACUAUUGCACUUCAGAGAUUAGAGAGUGGGUGGGCUGGCAGGUGUAUGUGUGUGCUUGUUACCCAAGACAACCUCGGUGUUUAUCCUGUUACAGUACCCCAGGGGACGAAGACUGUAAUUAUGGCUCUUUUUUCUGACCUAUUAGCACCAGAGGUAUAACUUACAUCAUAAUACUGCAUUGUGUGAUGCUUCAGUGCUCACAACUCAAAGGUGAUUUCUGAAGCACCUUGUUACACUUGGGGACAAUUCCUAAAUGCUCAGACUUCUUUUUCUCCUUACCUUGGAGUCUUGGGCUCUGCAGCUCACUCAUACUUUGUCAGGUUUUUCAGCUGGCAGGGCAGCUCAAUUAAAUUGAGUGUAGAUUCCACUGUAGCGUAGGCCAAGGACACCCCUACCCCCACCUGCACAAUCUUUCUUAAUAUUUGUAAUGGAACUGUUGCCAUUAAUAUUGCUUAAGGGCUAGGGUGUUUGCCAAAACCUAGGUAUCUUAUAGAAGUUUUCUGUUGCUCAUCUACGGUAGUGUUAUCCAAUUAUUGAAAUCUUUUCCAACUGGAAUAAAUAAGCUUUUUAUCCUCA